rnacentral:rRNA from 1 species
GAUGAACGCUGGCGGCGUGCCUAAUACAUGCAAGUCGAGCGAACGGACGAGAAGCUUGCUUCUCUGAUGUUAGCGGCGGACGGGUGAGUAACACGUGGAUAACCUACCUAUAAGACUGGGAUAACUUCGGGAAACCGGAGCUAAUACCGGAUAAUAUUUUGAACCGCAUGGUUCAAAAGUGAAAGACGGUCUUGCUGUCACUUAUAGAUGGAUCCGCGCUGCAUUAGCUAGUUGGUAAGGUAACGGCUUACCAAGGCAACGAUGCAUAGCCGACCUGAGAGGGUGAUCGGCCACACUGGAGCUUAGACACGGUCCAGACUACUACGAGAGGCAGCAGUAGGGGAUCUUCCGCAAUGGGCGAAAGCCUGACGGAGCAACGCCGAGUGAGUGAUGAAGGUCUUCGGAUCGUAAAACUCUGUUAUUAGGGAAGAACAUAUGUGUAAGUAACUGUGCACAUCUUGACGGUACCUAAUCAGAAAGCCACGGCUAACUACGUG